rnacentral:lncRNA from 1 species
AAACAUUCAAUUAAAUAAAUGAUAAAUAAAAAACUUAAUACAUAUAAUAUUAUAAAAUAGUUUUAUUGUGAAAUUUAGUGUUAUGGUUGGAGAAGACCUUGAUUUUAGUGUUGAAAUUACACUAAAAUAGUGUGGUUUUGACACUAAAAUAGAGUUAAUGGUUGGAGAUGCCCUUAAGCACUGUAGGGGCCACUACAAAAUCAAUUGUAUAUAGGGCUUGUGUAUAUUACGUAUGCUUUCAAAACUAUUGUAAAUCAACGACCAUUGAAAAAGGAAAGAAAGAAAGAAACGUGGUGAAUGAAUCCCACAGAAAUGAAAUAAAAACAUAUAGCAAAAUCUCAUAGUUUGGUGUCACGCGAAUAACGAUUAUAAAAAAUUAGUUUGUUUUAGAUAGAAAAAAUAAAAAUUAGUUUACAAAAAAAAAAAAAGAAUGAAAAACGAAUCAAAGCUGGAAUAACCGAUAGAGACGGAGACGCCAUGAUUUAUAAGUAGAAAUGACACGUUGGAGCUGACUCAAUCAAUCUCUCACAAGUCACAUCUCUAUCAAUAGAGAAACACGCCAUGAUUUAUAAGUAAAAACGUAUGUUCUCUUUUCUUUUCUUUUUGUUCUCUCCCGUUUUUUUUUAAAUCUUUUUCAUCCUUUUCAAAAAUUAACGGUACCAAGAUUUGUAGUAGACCGUGUACCUUACCUGGUGAUUGCUUCAGUAAUAAUUGUCUGUGUGUGUAUUUGAUAUUUAUUUUCUGAAAAGGCCAUAAUCAAUUUAAACAUACAUGCUAUGAUGUGCAUUGUCAUCACAAAUUCAUGUUUUGUCUUUUACAUGCAAACAUAUGUGUAUGAUGAAAAUAAUCUAUCCACUAUUUGACAUUUUGGAAUUGGCGAUCCGGAAAAAAGAAAGAAUAUAUAAGCUUAAAC